GGCGGCGGCGGCGGCCCCCCUGCCCUCACCAUGAACCAGACGGCGGGAGUGAGCAACAGCGUGCGCUGCCCCGCCGGGAAGGGCCCCAAGAACACAGCUCUCAUUCAGAUCUCUGGGCCUCCACAGCAGAAAAAGAAAAACAGGCACCAGACUCCUGACUGUAUUGCUUCUGCAGCAUAUGGAUAGUGGAAACAGGGACUCCUCAUAUGAUAUUUGUGUGGAUACCUUUAAGAGUGUUACGUAUAAGUUGUUACAUUUUGCCCCGGGAUUGCAGGAGGGAACAGCAAGACAGUAGUCAGGAUGCUACUUUCUGAAUAAACAAGCAUUAUUAUUAUAUUAGCUCAACUCCUGGGUCAUUUGAGAACAACACAUGGUACUAAGAGUGGGAUGCAAAGAAAGACAAAAAAUGGAGCAUCUCAGAAUCCAGAGGAGUUAAAGCUGUCCAGCGAUGCAGCCAAAAACUGGAAGAAAUUUAGGCAGAGCUUCACUAUAUACAUGACAGUGGAGCUACAGAGAAGGAAGAUUCAUUCAAGGUAGGGUUUUUUUUAAAUAUAGUAUACCCAGAAGCUCUUUCUCUUUACCUGUAGCGCUGACAGCCGAUGACUGUUAGAAGCAGCACAGAAAAGCUAUAGCAGAGUAAUUAAAACAUUGAGGAAUUUGAAAAUUGAAGAAAAUGAAACCUUUGAACAGUAUAAUUUCCACAUGAGACAGCAGACAGAAUAUGAGACAUUAGAAGGGUUUGUCAAAGACCUCAGACUGCCGACCCAGACAUGCAGCUUUGGAGACCUAAAAGAGUCCAUGAUCGGAGGCCAAAUAGUAUUGGGUAUAAAAGAUACAAGCCUCAGGAAAAGACUGCUAGAGGAACCUGAGCUUAAUUUGGAAAAGACAGUUGGAAUGUGCCAAGCGACUAAGAUAACAAAUUCCUGACUAAGAUGCUGGAGGAAAAAACAGAACAAGCUGAACUAGACAGGAUUAUAAAACUUCAAAAACCUAAGGCAACACGCAAACAAUACAGAAAGGAAGACCUCACUCUGAAGCAGGCAAGCGGAGGCCAAAGAGAAGUGCUUGAAGAAACAAUGGGUAGCUGCAGAUGCUGUGGAGGUUAUCACAAACACAUGCAAUGCCCUAUAUUUGGUAAGCACUGCAACAAAUGCAAAAGAUUCAAUCACUUUGCAAGAGUUUGCAGAAAGAAGCAGGAUGCAACACACUAGAAACAGAAGGUGCAUGCUAUAUACACCGAGGAAGAGGAAGAAUUCCUCAUUGGCACAAUGCAAGAAGAAGUUUAUUCUUCUGAGGGUUAGACACUCACGCAGAACACCAGUGGACUAAUGGUACAUUUAAAUUAGAUACAGGGGCACAGGUCAACGUAACACCAAAAUACAUUAUUCAAAAAAAUGAAAACUAAACCUGUGUACUAUGAGAAUAAGAAAAUAAGACUUAGAGCACAUAAUGGGAAUAUGAUUGCAACCAAAGAUGUUUGUGCACUGCAUAUUAGACACAAGGGUAAUAUAGUAAAAAUUGAAUUUGUAACAGCCCCAGGAAAGCUAGUGCCAAUGAUUGGGUUGUAGACAUGUAAGAGAAUGGAUGCCAUUGAGGGACUAGGAAGUAGAAUAUACAAGAAGAGUUUUAUGAUGUGCUUCAAGGCAUAGGGAAACUGUCAACUGAGUUGUUAAGAUAGAACUAAGAGAACCAAAUACUCCCAAGGUUCAUGAUCCAAGAAAUGUUUCCCUUGUACUAUGGGAGAAACUGAAAAAGGGAAAUAGAUAGAUUAGUUAACAUGGACAUAAUAGAAAAAGUAGAGCAACCAACUGCUUGGGUUCAUUCACUGGUCAUAAUAGGAAAAAAUGCUCUCUGAGAAAGGGGUGCAAAUUGAUUCUGCAAAGGUUAAAGCCAUUAUAAACAUGCCAUCCCCUACAGAUAAGGAAUCAGGGCAGAGAUUACUGAGAAAGGUAGUUCCUUACAAAAUUUACCAACCUAACCUAGAGCAGGCCAAACACCUUAGAACAUUCCUACAAAAGAAGGCUCAGAGGAUUUGAGAACAUGAACAUGAAGCUGAAUUUAAAAACUUGAAGGAAACAAUAAUGAAAGCUUUGGUACUAAAAUACUAUGACCCUAAAAGACCCAUUAAAUUGUCAACAGAUGCUUCUAAAGAAGGGACUGGAGCAGUGUUGCUUCAGAAACAUGGGGAUAGCUGGAGACCAGUGGCAUAUGCAUCUAGGACACUAUCCAAGUCAGAGUGUUUAUGUGCACAGAUUGAGAGAGAAAGUUUAGCUCUGGAUGUAAGAAAUGUCAUAUAUUCAUCUAUGGGAAGCCUAUGAUAAAUGAAAUUAUUCAUAAACCUUUGGUAGCUAAAACAAAGAGUCAUCAGACAUGCUACCCAGAUUACAGAGACUUUUCUUUCAACUGCAAGAUUUUAGACAUGCAAUGCACGCCAAGAAAACAUCUACUUAUUGCAGAUAUGUUGUCCACUCCAGAGCAUAUGACACAAUGGAAAAUAACAGAAUUCCAGACUCAGACAUAGUGCAUGUUAAUCUAAUUAAAAGAGUGAUUCCUGUCAGAGGUAAAAUGUGGGCACUAAUUGCAGAAACUACUGCACUUGCAACAAGUCAUAACAGCCAUUUGUACUGGUUGGCCUGGAAACCAUAUGCCUAGCCCCUACUCUCAGUUCAAGGAAGAGCUGUCAGUACUGGAUGGCAUUUUUUUCGAAGGCUCGCAACAUGUUGUUCCAGCAGUGCUAAAGACAAACAUGUUAAACAGAAUACAUGAGGAACAUCUAGGCAUUGAAAAAUGCAAAAGGAGAGCAAGGGGUUCUCUAUAUUGGCCCAACAUAAAUAAUGACAUAGUAGAUGCUGUAAAGGCUUGUACAACAUGCCUAAAGUACAGAUCAACACAAAGAAAAGAGUCCAUGAUGGUCAUGGAGGAGCUCAGUGCUAUCAAGUGGGCAUUGACUUAUUCGUGCAUGCAGGAAAAAAUUAUGUAUUAGCACUGGGUUAUUAUUCUCACUAUCCUGAAAUUGCAUUGCUCAAAAGCACAGCAGCAAACCGUGUCAUAACUCUCAUCAUAUCGGUUUUUGCUAGACAUGGGAUUCACAAACUGUGAGAACAGACAAUGGACCUCAGUUCAAAUGUCUUGAUUUUAAAGAGUUUGCAAACGAAUAUGGAUUCCAUCACAACACUUUAAGUCCUAAAUACCCACAAUCCAAUGGUCUGGUGGAAAUUGAGUACAAAUAGCGAAGAAGUUGUUGCAAAAAAGUUACAUAUUCACACUCUGAUGGUUGCCUGUCACUCUUAAAUUACUAGUGGGCAACACCCAAGGAACAUGGAUUGUCCCCAGCAGAAACGCUGUUUAAAAGGAAACUCAAAUCCAGGCUGCCAAAUCUUGUAGAUGAUGCUCAUCCGAAUGGAAAGCAAAAUGUGAAAACAUUUAAAAAGAUUGACAAACUCAAACAAAAAUGGUAGUAUGACAGCAGUUCCAGGGAGUUACCACAACUGCACAGCAAGGAUAUGGUGCAUAUUUCAGAUGGACGAUUGUGGAAACAAAAAACACUAGUUUCCCAUCAAGUAGUUCCCAGAUCCUAUAAAGUAGUCGCACCAGAAGGGCAGAUGUUAAGAAGGAACAGACGACACUUGCAGCUCAUAAAGCGGAGAAAAGCAGCAGCAUCACAAGAUUCACCAAAGAAAACUGAACUAACAUCAAAGUAACAAGAAAUGACAGAGAAAUUUGAAAAUGACACAGAAGUAGAGACAUCUGAACAAAGAAACCAAAUAGGAACUGAACCAGUAAUGACUGAGACUGUAGAGAAACUGAGAAGAUCACUUAAAGAUAAAAAGCCAACACAAAGACUAAUAGAGAUCUGUUAAAAUGUGCUUUAACUAUGGGUUGAACUAAAUUUCCAAUGUUAGUAUUACAUGUAAAGGGGGAAGAUGUGCGAAUACAUUUAAGAGUGUUAUGUAUAAGUUGUUACAUUUUGUCCCAGGAUUGUGGGAGGGAACAGCAGAGCAGUAGGCAAGAUAAUGCUUUCUGAAUAAAUGAGCUUUAUCGUUCUAUAAGCUUAGCUCCUGGGUCAUUUGAGAACAACACAGUAUUGUGAGCAAAAAUGACCCUCUUUGACUGCAAUCCAAGCUUGUAUUGAGUUUGAGAAAGAAACUAAAGAAAACUUCAUUAG